rnacentral:tRNA from 3 species
GCUGCUAUGGCUCAGUUGGUAGAGCGCAUCCUUGGUAAGGAUGAGGUCAGCAGUUCAAAUCUGCUUAGCAGCUCCA